CAAGGAGGCACGUGGCCAAAUGUUAGCUGCUCCCAGCAGUUUAAAUAAGUAUGCUAAUCUGUGACUUGCGAUGGUAGAAGGUGCAUAUGCUCCCCUUUCUGCUGUGUCUGCUACGUAGCUAGGCUGGGUGGCAGGGUGGUGUAGGUAGCUGGAGGCAGAGUGUCCUCCCAGGGCAAGUAAAGUCAACUCUGAAUUGGAAAGGUGGAAGCAAGGUCAUCUUUGCUUCUGCAACAAUAAUCUCUAGCAGAGGAUAGAGUGAAUAGGUGGAUAUCUUUAAAUUCUUGCCUACUUUCUCUUUCCCUCAUGUAAGAUGAUAAGUGAAGAGAAAGAUGUAUUGUACUUGUUGUGUAGAUCCAAAGUAUGGACCAAAGUUGUGCUGGUGGUGUUUUGUAAAUCUAGGAUAUUGUCCAAGCACGUUAUAUGUUGAUGUUAGUUAAUGUGAAUGUUCAGCAGUUUUGCAAAGUGCAUUGUAGCGUCAAAUGGUUCACUCAGGAGAUCAGAGUAUGCUUUUAAUGACUGUGCAGCUCUGUUUGGUUUCUUUCAACUUUUAUUCUGUUUUGUUUGGAAAAAAUUUCAACAACCGUAAUUCAAAAAGGCACAUCUUUUGCAUCAUGGGAGCCCCAGGCUUACUACUACUGUUAAACCAGUAUAAAAGUUUCCUAAUUGCUACUCUGAUAAAAGGCAUUUGGCUUAAUACUGCACUAGGGAAUGCAAUUUUCGCCACAGUGCGGUGAAGUUAUUCACUAUGGUAUUUUACUGUAACAGCAUGACAGGGCUUAUAUUCCAAACAGCUUCAGAAAAUUUAAGGGCAGUUUUUCCUCGUUGUUAGUGUUAUGCCUUCCAUGACACUGUUAUGUGGUCUAAAAUCUGGUAACAGAUGUAUGCAGCGUCAGCAUCGGGCCUGGUAGAUGUGAGAACCAUCACACUUCAGGGAGCUGUGAACUCCCCUGUAUCUGCUUCACACCUUGCUGCUAUCGUAAAGAAGAGGAGAACAGCCGCUUGCAGAGCUGAGCUCUCUAUGUCCUGGCCAAAUCCUUUAUAGAUGGGCCAAUUUCCUUCCCAAAUGUUUGAUCGUGGUGGUGUUGCUGAUGUUCCAAAGACAGCCUGGCAAACAACUUCUUUUUGCUGGCAGAAAGGGCCGGUGUUUGGAAAUUUAACUCUGAGUUCACUUAUUCCUAGGAAAAUGAGAGGAAUAUUUUGAGGAGCAAAAAGAUUGAGACCUUUAAUCUUGGUCAGUUAUCCCUCCUUUUCUCUUCUGAAAUCCAGAAAGGUUAUUUAGAAAGCUAAGGACUUCAGUGAAAUGGGAAAUAAGCUAUAGUUAGGAAAAUAUUUUCUAACCAGAUAACGACAAUCCUGAAGGCGCUUCUGUGCUCUGAAGUAUUGGCUACAGUUAAAUGAGAAGGUUUUUUUUGCUGAUAAUGAAUACACUAUUUCUUGUUUUAUGUCUUUAAAUAAAUUGUUGCGGACAGUAUUAACUACAUGAUAUUUCAGAAGUUCAUGCUGUUUUUGCUGACUGUCCUGGAGCCUGUUUUGUCUUUCAUUAAAUUUGCCUCGGACUAAAUGUUUCUGAUUAGUUUAAAUUGGAAAUUAAUUGUUGUACUCAACUUUACCCAAGCAUGCAAAUGUUUCUGGGAAGCUGACCGUAAACUAGGCCAUAAGAGACAAGAGCCCUACAGAUUAUGUCCCAAGGCCAGCUGCUAGGAUAUUAGAAUAUAUUAUGUUUUGUUCGUAGAUAACACAAUCUCUUUCCUGGAUGUGCAAAAGAUACCUGGGGAAAAAAAGUCACUGUCUAGGCAACCCUAGGGAGACAGGGCCAGAAGCUAGGAGCAGCUCUGGGU
rnacentral:lncRNA from 1 species